AGCUUUGCGCAGUGGCAGUAUCGUAGCCAAUGAGGUUUAUCCGAGGCGCAAUUAUUGCUAAUUGAAAACUCAAGUUCAACUAGAAUCCUAAACAAUGCAGAGGAGAGGGUGGUGAAGACAAUCCUUAAUGAGUAAGACUUUGA